GCCAUGUAGCUUGAAUGUUUUCCUGAAAUGAAAAUGAAAGUGAAAAUGGAAUUGGGGAUAGACUGCCGGAACUGGGACGAAGACGCUUACAGAAACACCAUAUUGCAGGACCGCCAAACCCAAUGCCGAACCGUCUUCCGAACCUCCUUCCCACCCUCUCUCUCCCCUAACCCCCCCGACCUCAUCGUCGCCGCCUCCAGCGACGGCUCCCUCGCCUCUUACUCCAUCUCCUCUCUCCUCUCCUCUCCCCCAUUGGGUUUAGGUUUUGGUAAUGGUAGGGUUCAGAAUUUGUUGCAGGCUGAACCUCAGUGCUUUCUUCAAGGGCAUGAUGGACCUGCUUAUGAUGUCAAAUUUUAUGGCAACGGCGAAGAUUCUUUGUUGUUGAGCUGUGGUGAUGAUGGCCGGAUUCGAGGGUGGAGGUGGAAGGAAAUCUCAAAACCAGAGGAGCAUAUUCCUUGGCAAGGAGGCCAUUUGAAGCCAGUACUUGACUUGGUGAAUCCUCAACAUAAAGGGCCGUGGAGUGCUCUUUCUCCGAUCCCAGAGAACAAUUCCAUUGCUGUUGAUAAUCAGGGUGGAUCCAUUUUUGCGGCUGCUGGUGAUUCUUGUGCGUAUUGCUGGGAUGUGGAGAAAAGUGAAAUCAAAAUGGUUUUCAAGGGGCACUCAGACUACUUGCAUUGUAUUGUUGCCCGUAAUUCUGGCAAUCAGAUUAUAACUGGAUCAGAAGAUGGGACAGCACGAAUAUGGGAUUGCAAAAGUGGAAAGUGUAUUCAAGUAAUUGACCCAGGGAAGGAUAAGAAGUUGAAAGAGUUCUUUCCAUUUGUCAGUUGCAUUGCUCUUGAUGCAAGUGAGAGCUGGUUGGCUUGUGGCAAUGGCCGGACUUUGUCUGUUUGGAAUCUUCCUGCUCGUGAGUGCAUUUCGAGGAUAUCCACUCAUGCUUCUAUCCAAGAUAUUUCAUUUGAUGAUAAUCAAAUAUUGGCAGUUGGAGCAGAACCAUUACUCACUCGAUAUGAUAUGAAUGGGGCUAUUCUUUCACGGAUACAAUGCGCACCUCAAUCAGCAUUUUCCAUUUCUGUUCAUCCAGCGGGUGUAUGUUCUGCUUGGACUUUCUGCUUUUAUGCUGAUCAAUUGACCCGAUUGUUAUUAUUUCUUUUGUAGUGUUGGCUUUUUCACAGAUAACCCUUGCUGGUCGCUGGUCAAUUGUCACUAGUUACAGCAGUGGCGGGUUACGGAGGUCUAGUGGAUGUUGUUUCACAAUUUGGAAGCCACUUAUGCACAUUUCGGUGUAGAUGCCAGUAAAUUGAGUUGAUUGAAAUGUGCUAAUGAAUAGGAAAAGUGUGGUAAGUGUAGCAUUAGACUUAGUUGAUGACUACAUUUUUAGAAUGUAUUCGUGGUAAGAGAACGUUUGUGUGAUUGAUAAAAACACAACUUGGAAAGCUAAAGAUGCCCUACCUACCAAAUGGUUAUUAUUUGGACAAUGGAUUAGAGUAUCUUUAAUGGUGUUUGUUAAAAUAGCAAUCAUUGCUAUAAUUUGGCAAUGAAUAAUGUUAUUUUGUCAAAUCACAGAAAUGGCGCUCUAAUGGUCACAUGUUAUUUUGGCAAAUUUCAAUCAACUUUCCUUCCAAGUU